rnacentral:rRNA from 1 species
UCGAGCGAACAGACGAGGAGCUUGCUCCUCUGACGUUAGCGGCGGACGGGUGAGUAACACGUGGAUAACCUACCUAUAAGACUGGGAUAACUUCGGGAAACCGGAGCUAAUACCGGAUAAUAUAUUGAACCGCAUGGUUCAAUAGUGAAAGACGGUUUUGCUGUCACUUAUAGAUGGAUCCGCGCCGCAUUAGCUAGUUGGUAGGGUAACGGCUUACCAAGGCGACGAUGCGUAGCCGACCUGAGAGGGUGAUCGGCCACACUGGAACUGAGACACGGUCCAGACUCCUACGGGAGGCAGCAGUAGGGAAUCUUCCGCAAUGGGCGAAAGCCUGACGGAGCAACGCCGCGUGAGUGAUGAAGGUCUUCGGAUCGUAAAACUCUGUUAUUAGGGAAGAACAAAUGUGUAAGUAACUAUGCACGUCUUGACGGUACCUAAUCAGAAAGCCACGGCUAACUACGUGCCAGCAGCCGCGGUAAUACGUAGGUGGCAAGCGUUAUCCGGAAUUAUUGGGCGUAAAGCGCGCGUAGGCGGUUUUUUAAGUCUGAUGUGAAAGCCCACGGCUCAACCGUGGAGGGUCAUUGGAAACUGGAAAACUUGAGUGCAGAAGAGGAAAGUGGAAUUCCAUGUGUAGCGGUGAAAUGCGCAGAGAUAUGGAGGA